GGCUUCAUAGCUCAGUUGGUAGAGCAUUGCACCAGUAUUGCAGAGGUCACGGGUUCGAAACCUGUCGAAGCCC